rnacentral:misc_RNA from 1 species
GAUGAAGAACGUAGCGAAAUGCGAUAAGUAAUGUGAAUUGCAGAAUUUAGUGAAUCAUCGAAUCUUUGAACGCACAUUGCGCCCGUCAGUAUUCUGGCGGGCAUGCCUGUUCGAGCGUCAUUACGCCCCUCAAGUCCCCUGUGGACUUGGUGUUGGGGAUCGGCGAGGCUGGUUUUCCAGCACAGCCGUCCCUUAAAUUAAUUGGCGGUCUCGCCGUGGCCCUCCUCUGCGCAGUAGUAAAACACUCGCAACAGGAGCCCGGCGCGGUCCACUGCCGUAAAACCCCCCAACUUUUUAUAGUUGACCUCGAAUCAGGUAGGACUACCCGCUGAACUUAAGCAUAUCAAUAAGCGGAGGA